GGUCUGUGAUGCCCUUAGAUGUCCUGGGCUGCACGCGCGCUACACUGAUGCAUUCACUGAGUGUAUCCUUGGCUGAGAGGCUUGGGUAAUCUUGAGUAUGCAUCGUGAUGGGGAUUGAUUAUUGUAAUUCUUAAUCAUGAACGAGGAAUGCCUAGUAUGCGCAAGUCAUCAGCUUGUGCAGACUACGUCCCUGCCCUUUGUACACACCGCCCGUCGCUCCUACCGAUC
rnacentral:rRNA from 1 species